rnacentral:rRNA from 1 species
UUAAGCGACUAAGCGUACACGGUGGAUGCCCUGGCAGUCAGAGGCGAUGAAGGACGUGCUAAUCUGCGAUAAGCGUCGGUAAGGUGAUAUGAACCGUUAUAACCGGCGAUUUCCGAAUGGGGAAACCCAGUGUGAUUCGUCACACUAUCAUUAACUGAAUCCAUAGGUUAAUGAGGCGAACCGGGGGAACUGAAACAUCUAAGUACCCCGAGGAAAAGAAAUCAACCGAGAUUCCCCCAGUAGCGGCGAGCGAACGGGGAGCAGCCCAGAGCCUGAAUCAGUGUGUGUGUUAGUGGAAGCGUCUGGAAAGGCGCGCGAUACAGGGUGACAGCCCCGUACACAAAAAUGCACAUGCUGUGAGCUCGAUGAGUAGGGCGGGACACGUGGUAUCCUGUCUGAAUAUGGGGGGACCAUCCUCCAAGGCUAAAUACUCCUGACUGACCGAUAGUGAACCAGUACCGUGAGGGAAAGGCGAAAAGAACCCCGGCGAGGGGAGUGAAAAAGAACCUGAAACCGUGUACGUACAAGCAGUGGGAGCCUCUUUUAUGGGGUGACUGCGUACCUUUUGUAUAAUGGGUCAGCGACUUAUAUUCUGUAGCAAGGUUAACCGAAUAGGGGAGCCGAAGGGAAACCGAGUCUUAACUGGGCGUUAAGUUGCAGGGUAUAGACCCGAAACCCGGUGAUCUAGCCAUGGGCAGGUUGAAGGUUGGGUAACACUAACUGGAGGACCGAACCGACUAAUGUUGAAAAAUUAGCGGAUGACUUGUGGCUGGGGGUGAAAGGCCAAUCAAACCGGGAGAUAGCUGGUUCUCCCCGAAAGCUAUUUAGGUAGCGCCUCGUGAAUUCAUCUCCGGGGGUAGAGCACUGUUUCGGCAAGGGGGUCAUCCCGACUUACCAACCCGAUGCAAACUGCGAAUACCGGAGAAUGUUAUCACGGGAGACACACGGCGGGUGCUAACGUCCGUCGUGAAGAGGGAAACAACCCAGACCGCCAGCUAAGGUCCCAAAGUCAUGGUUAAGUGGGAAACGAUGUGGGAAGGCCCAGACAGCCAGGAUGUUGGCUUAGAAGCAGCCAUCAUUUAAAGAAAGCGUAAUAGCUCACUGGUCGAGUCGGCCUGCGCGGAAGAUGUAACGGGGCUAAACCAUGCACCGAAGCUGCGGCAGCGACGCUUAUGCGUUGUUGGGUAGGGGAGCGUUCUGUAAGCCUGUGAAGGUGUGCUGUGAGGCAUGCUGGAGGUAUCAGAAGUGCGAAUGCUGACAUAAGUAACGAUAAAGCGGGUGAAAAGCCCGCUCGCCGGAAGACCAAGGGUUCCUGUCCAACGUUAAUCGGGGCAGGGUGAGUCGACCCCUAAGGCGAGGCCGAAAGGCGUAGUCGAUGGGAAACAGGUUAAUAUUCCUGUACUUGGUGUUACUGCGAAGGGGGGACGGAGAAGGCUAUGUUGGCCGGGCGACGGUUGUCCCGGUUUAAGCGUGUAGGCUGGUUUUCCAGGCAAAUCCGGAAAAUCAAGGCUGAGGCGUGAUGACGAGGCACUACGGUGCUGAAGCAACAAAUGCCCUGCUUCCAGGAAAAGCCUCUAAGCAUCAGGUAACAUCAAAUCGUACCCCAAACCGACACAGGUGGUCAGGUAGAGAAUACCAAGGCGCUUGAGAGAACUCGGGUGAAGGAACUAGGCAAAAUGGUGCCGUAACUUCGGGAGAAGGCACGCUGAUAUGUAGGUGAAGUCCCUUGCGGAUGGAGCUGAAAUCAGUCGAAGAUACCAGCUGGCUGCAACUGUUUAUUAAAAACACAGCACUGUGCAAACACGAAAGUGGACGUAUACGGUGUGACGCCUGCCCGGUGCCGGAAGGUUAAUUGAUGGGGUCAGCGCAAGCGAAGCUCUUGAUCGAAGCCCCGGUAAACGGCGGCCGUAACUAUAACGGUCCUAAGGUAGCGAAAUUCCUUGUCGGGUAAGUUCCGACCUGCACGAAUGGCGUAAUGAUGGCCAGGCUGUCUCCACCCGAGACUCAGUGAAAUUGAACUCGCUGUGAAGAUGCAGUGUACCCGCGGCAAGACGGAAAGACCCCGUGAACCUUUACUAUAGCUUGACACUGAACAUUGAGCCUUGAUGUGUAGGAUAGGUGGGAGGCUUAGAAGUGUGGACGCCAGUCUGCAUGGAGUCGACCUUGAAAUACCACCCUUUAAUGUUUGAUGUUCUAACGUGGACCCGUAAUCCGGGUUGCGGACAGUGUCUGGUGGGUAGUUUGACUGGGGCGGUCUCCUCCUAAAGAGUAACGGAGGAGCACGAAGGUUGGCUAAUCCUGGUCGGACAUCAGGAGGUUAGUGCAAUGGCAUAAGCCAGCUUGACUGCGAGCGUGACGGCGCGAGCAGGUGCGAAAGCAGGUCAUAGUGAUCCGGUGGUUCUGAAUGGAAGGGCCAUCGCUCAACGGAUAAAAGGUACUCCGGGGAUAACAGGCUGAUACCGCCCAAGAGUUCAUAUCGACGGCGGUGUUUGGCACCUCGAUGUCGGCUCAUCACAUCCUGGGGCUGAAGUAGGUCCCAAGGGUAUGGCUGUUCGCCAUUUAAAGUGGUACGCGAGCUGGGUUUAGAACGUCGUGAGACAGUUCGGUCCCUAUCUGCCGUGGGCGCUGGAGAACUGAGGGGGGCUGCUCCUAGUACGAGAGGACCGGAGUGGACGCAUCACUGGUGUUCGGGUUGUCAUGCCAAUGGCACUGCCCGGUAGCUAAAUGCGGAAGAGAUAAGUGCUGAAAGCAUCUAAGCACGAAACUUGCCCCGAGAUGAGUUCUCCCUGACCCUUUAAGGGUCCUGAAGGAACGUUGAAGACGACGACGUUGAUAGGCCGGGUGUGUAAGCGCAGCGAUGCGUUGAGCUAACCGGUACUAAUGAACCGUGAGGCUUAACCUU